AGUUGCAUUAAAAAGAAACACGUUUUUAAAAAAUUGUAUGUUAACAAAAAGGAAAAAAUGCUUUAGCAUAAAGAUAAUUGAUUCAUUGACAAAAAAAAAUGUGAAAGUGUAUGUUGGAUCGGGGAAGAAUAAAACAGUGGAAACACAAAAAGCAGAGGUAAAAGAAGAACCAGCGAAAGAAAAGAAUGAUGUUAGUUACGUAACACAUGAUAAAACAGAUAACCAAAAUGGUAAUGUAACAAAAGAAGCAGUUACCGAUGACAGUAUAACUGACAAACUGAACAAAAACGAUAUCAUUAACUUGCAAAACAGUUUGAGUACAAUAUUUCAAAAGAAAUCUAUAUUUUAUGAAAGCGAAAGAAUUAUAAGAUGUGAGAGUGGAAGAGGUGGAGAUGGUUGUAUGAGUUAUAAAAAAUUUAAAAAAAAAGUGUUUGGUUCUUUAGGGAUACCUAAUGGUGGAAAGGGAGGUAAUGGCGGUAGUAUAUAUUUAUGUUAUUGUUGUAACCUUAAAAAACAAAAAAAUAGUAUAAAAAAUAAUGAUCAAAAUAAAUAUAUAUAUAUUACUAAUUUGAAUGAGUUGCCUACUGUAUUAUCUGCAACAAAUGGUUGUAAAGGUAAAGCAAGACAAGUUAGAGGAAAUAAUGGUAAAAGCAUUUAUGUUUAUUUAAAUAAAAUUUGUCAUGUUUACCAAAUUUUUACAUCUACGAACGGUGAUAACAAUAAAAUAUGUGAUACGAAUAAAAGUAAAGAAGAUAUAGAUAGUAAUGGUUCCCAAUUAAACGAUAAAGAAUGUUAUACUACUGAGGAAUUAAAUAAAAAUGGAGAUAAUAGGAUAAAUAAAUUGUGUGAUGAUACAUGUGAUAGUACAAAUGCAAAUAUAACACAUAAAAAUAGCUUUUUGCAUAUAGAAAGCACAUUAAACAAUGACAAAAGUAAUAAACAGUUAACCCAUUUUACAAGUGCACACUCAGAUCGUGUAUAUAACACUAUAAAACGUGAAGAUCCUGUAUAUCUUAAAAAAAAUAAUCACGUUUUAAAACAAUUAAUGCUUAUAAAUAAAAAAAUACAAAAAGAUACAUAUAUUGGUAUUUUAAAUGAAAAAAAUAAUUGCAUAUUAUUAGCAAAAGGAGGAGAAGGAGGAAAGGGAAAUAAUAUGCAAAAUACUUUUUCGUAUGAUACAGGUAAAGAAGGAGUAGUUACGUAUAUACGAAUUAUUUUUAAAUGUAUUAGUGAUAUAUGUUUUAUAGGGUAUGAAAAUGCAGGUAAGUCAUCAUUAUUAUCAUUAAUUACACAUAAAAUUCGAACAGUUAAUAAUUUAUAUGUUUUAAAAACAAUUUUUUUUAAGGACAACUUUCAAAUAUCCGUAGCAGAUUUCUUUUCUAAUACGGAUACUGUUACUAGUACAGCUACUGUAGUAGAAAAAAGUAAUGUUAACAGUAUAAACAAAAAAAAACCCUUUCAUAUAAAUUUGAAUUUGCUUAAAUUUUUGGAAAUGACACACGUACUUGUUAUUGUCUUGGAUUGCAAUGAUCACAUAUAUGAUCAAUUUCUGAGUAUUCGAACGGAGCUAAAGCUGAAAAACGAAAGUAUUUAUCUCAAACCGUAUAUCGUAGUGAUAAACAAGUGUGAUGUAACAUUUCAAGAAAAUAUAAAAAAGGCGGAUCAGGCGUACAACCAAAUAAAGUUAUAUGAUGAUACUGUUCCGAUUUUUUUUAUAAGCGCUAAAUAUGGAAUUGGGAUAAACGAAUUUGUUAUGAGUUUAAGGAGGUGCGUGGAGAAAGCAAAGCAAAUUAAGACGUGAUGUUUAUUUUGGUUUUGGGUUUGGGUUUGGGUUUGGGUUUGGGUUUGGGUUUGGUGUUUAUCUUUAUGUGUUUGUACUUUUGAUUUUGCUUUUGUUAUUAUUGUUCUUACUCUUGCUUUUUCUCUUUCUCUUUUUCUUUCUCUUGCUUAAUGCGUCCCUGUUUUUACCUACUUUACGUUUCUGUAUUAACCCUUAUCAUUUUCAUAGCUGUCUUUGUUUAUACACAUUUUUCUUUACACGUAUUUAAAAAAAGAAUCAAAUUGCCUAGUUUGUAAUAUAAGUACUAUUUUUAAGCUUCGAAAAAUGUAAAUGAAAUUUACAAACGAACCAUACAUAGUGAGCUAAUAUAAUUUUAAGUCUCAAUAUAUAAAUUAAAAUGAUAAAACAAAAAUGUUUUGUAAAAAUAAAUAUGACCGAUCAAAUAUAUAUGGUACA
ensembl:lncRNA